rnacentral:lncRNA from 1 species
GCCACAGCCACCCCCACAGACACUCAGGACUUUUGGACAGAGCCGUUACUGACCUUGGAUGGCAAAUUUUUACAUCUAUAAAUAAUCCUGAGCAAGCUGCUCUGUGAAAAUUUCUUUCUCCUUUAUGGAGUAAGACAGAGAUGUUAAUUAUGAAAAUGCAGAGAAAACUAAUGAUCUGAGUGACAGUGGUUUAAAAAUCUUGAACUUUGGCUAAAAAUAACGUUGUUUAUUCAGCCAAUUCUCUACUCAUCUUGAAGAGUAUACAAGUCGCAUUGUCAACGAUCCAGCUAGUCAUUAUCCCUGAAGAGUGUAUGGUAUCUGGAUACAUAUCACAUAUCAUCUCUACAGGGCUUCAGGAAGCACACGUAAGCCCGGUGAGAUGUGUUGCUGUCUCUGCCUUGCUCUCGGCGUGGGCCUGUGGCCGCUGG